CAGCUUCCUGGGUAGGAAGUGUCUGGGAUGAGAAAGAAGAGGUUGAUGAAAGAGGAAGAGGCAGGCAAACAGCUGUUAGAGAUGAAGAUGGCUGAGGGUCUGCAGAUGUUUCCCUGGAAGAUAUCAGGAGUCUGCUCUGAAUGCAGCUGUUAGUGUUUUGAGAUGGAGUCUCACUGUAUAGCCUCUCACAGCCUGGAACUUGCUAUGUAGCCCAAACUGGCCGUGAGUUCUUGGUCUUCCUGGCUCCG
rnacentral:lncRNA from 1 species